rnacentral:rRNA from 1 species
CGGAGGAUCCAAGCGUUAUCCGGAAUUACUGGGCGUAAAGAGUUGCGUAGGCGGCCAAGUAAGUGGGUAGUGAAAUGAUGGGGCUCAACCCCAUGUCCAUUAUCUAAACUGCUAGGCUAGAGUAUGAGAGAGGUACCUGGAAUUUCUAGUGUAGGAGUGAAAUCCGUAGAUAUUAGAAGGAACACCGAUGGCGUAGGCAGGGUACUGGCUCAUUACUGACGCUCAGGCACGAAAGCGUGGGGAGCGACCGGGAUUAGAUACCCCGUUAGUCCACGCCGUAAACGAUGGAUGCUAGCUGUGUGUCGUAUCGACCCGAUACGUAGCGAAGCUAACGCGUUAAGCAUCCCGCCUGUGGAGUACGGCCGCAAGGCU